rnacentral:misc_RNA from 1 species
UACGGGACGCAGCAGUGGGGAAUUUUGGACAAUGGGGGAAACCCUGAUCCAGCCAUCCCGCGUGUGCGAUGAAGGCCUUCGCUAGGUAAGCACUUUUGUAGAAGAACGGCGCAAUGGAUAAUACCUCGCAACUGACGGUACCUUUGUGAAUAAGCACCGGCUAACUACGUGCCAGCAGCCGCGGUAAUACGUAGGGUGCAAGCGUUAAUCGGAAUUACCGGGCGUGAAGCGUGCGCAGGCGGUUCGGAAAGAAAGAUGUGAAAUCCCAGAGCUUAACUUUGGAACUGUAUUUUUAACUACCGAGCUAGAGUGUGUCAGAGGGAGGUGGAAUUCCGCGUAGCAGUGAAAUGCGUAGAUAUGCGGAGGAACACCGAUGGCGAAGGCAGCCUCCUGGGAUAACACUGACGCUCAUGCAUCGGUGCCGGGAGCAAUAAUAGGAUUAUGAUAAUUCUGCAGU